GAUGAACGCUGGCGGUAUGCUUAACACAUGCAAGUCGAACGGACUCUUCGGAGUUAGUGGCGGACGGGUGAGUAACGCGUGAGAAUCUGGCUUUGGGUUCGGGACAACCACUGGAAACGGUGGCUAAUACCGGAUGUGCCGAGAGGUAAAAGAGAAAUUGCCUGAAGAUGAGCUCGCGUCUGAUUAGCUAGUUGGUGAGGUAAAGGCUCACCAAGGCAGCGAUCAGUAGCUGGUCUGAGAGGAUGACCAGCCACACUGGGACUGAGACACGGCCCAGACUCCUACGGGAGGCAGCAGUGGGGAAUUUUCCGCAAUGGGCGAAAGCCUGACGGAGCAAUACCGCGUGAGGGAAGAAGGCUCUUGGGUUGUAAACCUCUUCUCUUAGGGAAGAACAAAAUGACGGUACCUAAGGAAUCAGCAUCGGCUAACUCCGU
rnacentral:rRNA from 1 species